rnacentral:rRNA from 1 species
UACGGGGGGUGCAAGCGUUGCUCGGAAUUAUUGGGCGUAAAGGGUAGGUAGGCGGUCUCAUUUGUCUGGGGUGAAAGCCUUGAGCUUAACUCAAGAAGUGCCCCAGAAACGGUGAGACUGGAGUCCUGGAGAGGGUCGUGGAAUUCCCGGUGUAGCGGUGAAAUGCGUAGAGAUCGGGAGGAACACCAGAGGCGAAAGCGGCGACCUGGACAGGUACUGACACUCAACUACGAAAGCGUGGGGAGCAAACAGG